UACAGUUUUGAUUUCUAACAUAGUUUUCCUUUAUGUGUAUAGGGGCUGUGGUGUAUAGUUAAUGAUUGUAAUUUUGUGUAGGGGAUGGAGUAUAUAUAUUUGUGUGUAUAUUGGAAAUCCAGUGUUGGGUAUGCAAUGUGUGGAUUUAUAAGGGGGUGAGAGGGGAACAGUUUUUUUCCUUUUAUUAUUAUAUUUUAUUUAUUUUUAAAAGGUAUGCAACCUUACUUCUGGCUAGGGAGACAUUGGUAUUCCAUGGCUCUACACUGACUUCUAUCAGAUGCAAACACUUCUAUCUCUCUUUGAUGUGGCAUUGGAGUGUUGCUGUGCUAACCUGAGGCAACACUCUUGAGUGGGCUUGCAGGAGGAUUACCGUGUCUCUACACGGGGUGCACACUAAGAAUCUCUUGGGCCCCCCACUUGCUAUACAAGUCUGCAAUGGCCAGGUGAGGGAGAUCUAUGUACUAGCCACUGG